rnacentral:rRNA from 1 species
CCUACGGGAGGCAGCAGUGGGGAAUUUUGCGCAAUGGGGGCAACCCUGACGCAGCAACGCCGCGUGAGUGAUGAAGGCCUUCGGGUCGUAAAGCUCUGUCAGAGGGGAAGAAAUGCAGGUGGUGAACAACCAUUCUGUUUGACGGUACCCUCAAAGGAAGCACCGGCUAACUCCGUGCCAGCAGCCGCGGUAAUACGGAGGGUGCGAGCGUUGUUCGGAAUUAUUGGGCGUAAAGCGCGUGUAGGCGGUUUGUUAAGACUGAGGUGAAAGCCCCGGGCUCAACCGGGAAAGGGCAUUGGAUACUGGCAGACUUGAGGGCGGGAGAGGAGAGUGGAAUUCCCAGUGUAGGAGUGAAAUCCGUAGAUAUUGGGAGGAACACCGGUGGCGAAGGCGGCUCCCUGGACCGAUACUGACGCUGAGACGCGAAAGCGUGGGGAGCAAACGGGAUUAGAUCCCCUGGUAGU